rfam:Heterocephalus glaber contig16963, whole genome shotgun sequence.
GGGGAUUUAGCUCAGUGGUUUGGGCACCUGCCUCGCAAGCACAAGGUCCCAAGUUCGAUUCUCGGUACACCCCA